AGCAGCCGCGGUAAUUCCAGCUCCAAUAGCGUAUAUUAAAGUUGUUGCAGUUAAAAAGCUCGUAGUUGAAUUUCGGGGUUAGUAGGUUGGUCAUGCCUCUGGUAUGUACUGGUCUCACUGAUUCCUCCUUCCUGAUGAGCCGUAAUGCCAUUAAUUUGGUGUUGCGGGGAAUUUGGACUGUUACUUUGAAAAAAUUAGAGUGUUUAAAGCAAGCUAACGCUUGAAUACAUUAGCAUGGAAUAAUGAAAUAGGACGUUCGAUCCUAUUUUGUUGGUUUCUAGGAUUGACGUAAUGAUUAAUAGGGAUAGUUGGGGGCAUUAGUAUUCAAUUGUCAGAGGUGAAAUUCUUGGAUUUAUUGAAGACUAACUACUGCGAAAGCAUUUGCCAAGGAUGUUUUCAUUAAUCAAGAACGAAAGUUAGGGGAUCGAAGACGAUCAGAUACCGUCGUAGUCUUAACCAUAAACUAUGCCGACUAGGGAUCGGAUGAUGUUAAUUUUUAAU
rnacentral:rRNA from 1 species